CCUACGGGGUGCAGCAGUGAGGAAUAUUUGUCAAUGGACGAGAGUCUGAACCAGCCAAGUAGCGUGAAGGAUGACUGCCCUAUGGGUUGUAAACUUCUUUUAUAAAGGAAUAAAACGCGGCACGUGUGCCUUUUUGCAGGUACUUUAUGAAUAAGGAUCGGCUAAAUCCGUGCCAGCAGCCGCGGUAAUACGGAGGAUCCGAGCGUUAUCCGGAGUUAUUGGGUUUAAAGGGAUAGUAGAUGGGUUGUUAAGUCAGUUGUGAAAGUUUGCGGCGCAACCGUAAAAUUGCAAUUGAUACUGGCAGUCUUGAGUACAGUUGAGGUAUGCGGAAUUCGUGGUGUAGCGGUGAAAUGCUUAGAUAUCACGAAGAACCCCGAUUGCGAAGGCAGCUUACUAACCGGUGACUGACACUGAUGCUCGAAAGUGUGGGUAUCAAACAGGAUUAGAUACCCUGGUAGUC
rnacentral:rRNA from 1 species